GCUUAUAGCCGUACCACCCCGAGGACACCCAAUCCCGUCUGAUCUCAGACGCUAAGGAGGGUCGGGCCUGCUUAGUAUUUGGGUGGGAGACCGCCUGGGAACAUCAGGUACUGUAAGCU
ensembl:rRNA 5S_rRNA 5S ribosomal RNA